UAGGGAUUCUUCCGCAAUGGACGACCGUCUGACGGAGCAACGCCGCGUGGGUGAAGAAGGUUUUCGGUUCGUAAAACUCUGUUGUUAGGGAAGAAAAAAUGUAUAGUAACUAUAUACAAAAGAGACGGUACCUAACCAGAAAGCCACGGCUAACUACGUGCCAGCAGCCGCGGUAAUACGUAGGUGGCAAGCGUUGUCCGGAAUGAUUGGGCGUAAAGCGCGCGCAGGUGGUUUAGAAAGUCUGAUGUGAAAGCCCACGGCUCAACCGUGGAGGGUCAUUGGAAAAUAAUAAACUUGAGUGCAGGAGAGAAAAGUGGAAUUCCUAGUGUAGCGGUGAAAUGCGUAGAGAUUAGGGGGAACACCGGUGGCGAAAGCGGCUUUUUGGCGUGCAACUGACACUGAGGCGCGAAAGCGUGGGGGGCAAACAGG
rnacentral:rRNA from 1 species